rnacentral:rRNA from 1 species
GAUGAACGCUAGCGGGAGGCCUAAUACAUGCAAGUCGUGGGGCAGCAGGGGUGUAGCAAUACAUCUGCUGGCGACCGGCAAACGGGUGCGUAACACGUACGCAACCUUCCCGUUACUGUGGCAUAGCCCAGGGAAACUUGGAUUAAUACCACAUAUUAUAUAGAGAGGGCAUCCUUUUUAUAUCAAAGCUUCGGCGGUAACGGAUGGGCGUGCGGUUGAUUAGGUAGUUGGCGGGGUAACGGCCCACCAAGCCUACGAUCAAUAGCUGAUGUGAGAGCAUGAUCAGCCACACGGGCACUGAGACACGGGCCCGACUCCUACGGGAGGCAGCAGUAAGGAAUAUUGGGCAAUGGACGAAAGUCUGACCCAGCCAUGCCGCGUGAAGGAUUAAGGUCCUCUGGAUUGUGAACUUCCUUUCUCUGGGGCGAAAACCAGCUAUUCUUAGCUAUUUGACAGUACCAGAGGAAUAAGCACCGGCUAACUCCGUGCCAGCCGCCGCAGUAA